rnacentral:rRNA from 1 species
UACGUAGGUGGCAAGCGUUGUCCGGAUUUACUGGGCGUAAAGCGUGCGCAGGCGGUUCUGAAAGUCAGCUGUGAAAGCCCCGGGCUUAACCUGGGAAUGGCGGUUGAAACUACAGGACUAGAAUCUGGCAGAGGGGGGUGGAAUUCCACGUGUAGCAGUGAAAUGCGUAGAGAUGUGGAGGAACACCGAUGGCGAAGGCAGCCCCCUGGGCUGAGAUUGACGCUCAGGCACGAAAGCGUGGGGAUCAAACAGG